CCCUUAGAUGUUCUGGGCCGCACACGCGCUACACUGAAGGAGGCAGCGUGUACUCCUGGAUCGAAAGAUUUGGGUAACCCGCGAAUCUCCUUCGUGCUAGGGAUUGAGGUUUGCAAUUAUCCUUCAUGAACGAGGAAUGCCUAGUAAGCGCAAGUCAUCAGCUUGCGUUGAUUACGUCCCUGCCCUUUGUACACACCGCCCGUCGCUCCUACCGAUUGAAUGGUCCGGUGAAGCGCUCGGACCGCGGCCUCUUGACGGUUUUCCGUCGAUUGGCUGUGGGAAGUUCGUUAAACCUUAUCAUUUAGAGGAAGGAGAAGUCGUAACA
rnacentral:rRNA from 1 species